GAUGAACGCUAGCGGCGGGCCUAAUACAUGCAAGUCGAACGGUAAGUAUUUUAGCAAUAGAAUACGAGAGUGACGUACGGGUGCGUAACACGUAUGCAACCUACCCUUUACAGGAGGAUAGCUCGGGGAAACUCGAAUUAACUCUCCAUGAGAUCACAGUGUGGCAUCACACAGUGAUUAAAACUCCGGUGGUAAAGGAUGGGCAUGCGUCUGAUUAGUUAGUUGGCGGGGUAACGGCCCACCAAGACGAUGAUCAGUAGGGGAACUGAGAGGUUGAUCCCCCACACUGGCACUGAGAUACGGGCCAGACUCCUACGGGAGGCAGCAGUAGGGAAUAUUGGUCAAUGGAUGGAAGUCUGAACCAGCCAUGCCGCGUGCAGGAAGAAGGCCUUCUGGGUUGUAAACUGCUUUUGCCAGGGGAUAAAAAGACCAUGCGUGGUUAAUUGAAGGUACCUGGUGAAUAAGCCACGGCUAACUACGUGCCAGCAGCCGCGGUAAUACG
rnacentral:rRNA from 1 species